CCUACGGGAGGCAGCAGUGGGGAAUUUUGGACAAUGGGCGCAAGCCUGAUCCAGCAAUGCCGCGUGAGUGAAGAAGGCCUUCGGGUUGUAAAGCUCUUUUGUCAGGGAAGAAACGGCCUGUUCUAAUACAGUGGGCUAAUGACGGUACCUGAAGAAUAAGCACCGGCUAACUACGUGCCAGCAGCCGCGGUAAUACGUAGGGUGCAAGCGUUAAUCGGAAUUACUGGGCGUAAAGCGUGCGCAGGCGGUUUUGUAAGUCUGUCGUGAAAUCCCCGGGCUCAACCUGGGAAUGGCGAUGGAGACUGCAAGGCUAGAGUUUGGCAGAGGGGGGUAGAAUUCCACGUGUAGCAGUGAAAUGCGUAGAUAUGUGGAGGAACACCGAUGGCGAAGGCAGCCCCCUGGGUCAAAACUGACGCUCAUGCACGAAAGCGUGGGGAGCAAACAGGAUUAGAUACCCUGGUAGUCCACGCCCUAAACGAUGUCUACUAGUUGUCGGGUCUUAAUUGACUUGGUAACGCAGCUAACGCGUGAAGUAGACCGCCUGGGGAGUACGGGUCGCAAGAUUAAAACCUCAAAGGAAUUGACGG
rnacentral:rRNA from 1 species